rnacentral:rRNA from 1 species
AAACCAGCACCUCAAGUGGUCAGGAUGAUUAUUGGGCCUAAAGCAUCCGUAGCCGGCUCUGUAAGUUUUCGGUUAAAUCUGUACGCUCAACGUAUGGGCUGCCGGGAAUACUGUAAAGCUAGGGAGUGGGAGAGGUAGACGGUACUCGGGAGGAAGGGGUAAAAUCCUUUGAUCUCUCGAUGACCACCUGUGGCGAAGGCGGUCUACCAGAACACGUUCGACGGUGAGGGAUGAAAGCUGGGGGAGCAAACCGGAUUAGAAACCCGAGUAGUCC